rnacentral:rRNA from 1 species
UCGUAGCUAACGCGUUAAGUGUUCCGCCUGGGGGAGUACGCACGCAAGUGUGAAACUCAAAGGGAAUUGACGGGGGCCCGCACAAGCGGUGGAGUAUGUGGUUUAAUUCGAUGCAACGCGAAGAACCUUACCAAGGCUUGACAUCCCUGGAAUCUUUUGGAAACAGAAGAGUCCUUCGGGAACCAGGAGACAGGUGGUGCAUGGCUGUCGUCAGCUCGUGUCGUGAGAUGUUGGGUUAAGUCCCGCAACGAGCGCAACCCACGUUUUUAGUUGCCAUCAUUCAGUUGGGCACUCUAGAGAGACUGCCGGUGACAAACCGGAGGAAGGUGUGGAUGACGUCAAGUCAGCAUGCCCCUUACGUCUUGGGCUACACACGUACUACAAUGCUACGGACAAAGGGCAGCCAAUCAGCAAUGACGCGCAAAUCCCAUAAACCGUAGCUCAGUUCAGAUCGUAGGCUGCAACUCGCCUACGUGAAGGCGGAAUCGCUAGUAAUCGCAGGUCAGCAUACUGCGGUGAAUACGUUCCCGGGCCUUGUACACACCGCCCGUCACACCAUGGGAGUUGGUCACGCCCGAAGUGGUUACCCUAACCGUAAGGAGGGGGACCCCUAAGGCAGGGCUGAUGACUGGGGUGAAGUCGUAACAAGGUAACC